AUGUGGCAUGUCUACUUGUACAAAUUGCUUAGGUGGACACGGGUCUCACUGGCAGCCCCCACCUACUUCUUCCUCCUCCCGUCUCUUCCCCUCUUUAUGUACGAACUGGAGGGUCAACGACGAGCAUGUCAAACUCCCGGUGGAAGAAGACGACCACGACGGCUCGACGCUGCCCGAUCCAGCGAGGGAACCGUCCCAGCGUGUCCCUACGGCUGCCUCCGGCCGCUGGAUUCCGUCAUCCACCUUCUUCCCCUCUGCCUCAAGAUCCAGAUCCCCGCCUCCCUUCGUCGGACCCAUUCCCGAGCGUCCGGCCACCACGCCGUUCUUCCUUGGCUCCGGCGCCCCUGCGACGAGGUGCGGCGCAGGAAGUCGUGUCCACCUGAGCCGAGUGUGUCCACGGCCUCGACGGGAGCCCCGCAGUGGCCGAGUGUGUCCACGACCCCGACGGGAGCGCCGCAGUGGCCGAGUGCUGGAGCUGGUGUGCUGCUGCGCACGACGGAUGGCGGCGCCGUCGUGCCGAGCUGCUCUGCCAGCCGCCGCACGAGCCGCACCUCAGCUCGCUGUUGCGCCGGCCGUGCGCCGCCCACGGGUCUGCCAUGUGCGCCCACCGUCUUCUCCUGCCUCCGGCCGUUGGCGGCGGGUGCGCUAGCGUCGGCGAUGCUCGACAAGGGCGGCCCGAGACCACCGUCGCAUCCCCAACUGCAUAAGAACACCAUGGGUGCCGCCCGAGCUUUUGCGCGACCCGUGCUUCAGGGGCUUCUCGGGCACGUCCUGCACGGCGUCGAGGGAGGCGGCCAGUUCCACCACACGGCUCGGGAACGCGACCUGGUCUCCAUCGCGUCUCAGCAUAUUGUCCACCUAAGCAUGCCACGUCAGGCUGACAGGUGGGCCCAACUUCCAAGCCAAAGCACGAGGUCCAUCCCUGCAAAGUCCAAACCAGGCCCAUCCUUGCAAAGCAUUAGUCCUCAUGUGCUGCUCGUCGCGUUCGCCGUCCUUGCAGCGCUUCCCCUCGCCCACAGCCAAGUGGCGAACCCAUGGCCGUCCUGCGGCAACUGCGACUCGUGCACCAAGUCCAACCCACCGGGGUGCACGCAUUGGGAUUACUUAAGCUCCUGGGUUUUUUAUCGUCGACCCAGUACAAGAGCUGUGUCAUGUCCACCAUCGGGCCACGACAGUUUCCAGUGCACGAACCGCAUCAACAACUUCUGCGAGAGCUGCUGCACGCUGGCCGCUCAGAGCUUUAGCUCCCUUUGCAUCUAG
rnacentral:rRNA from 1 species